AUAUAUAAAUAACAUAUAAUGAUCUCAGUGAUAAUAUUGCAGUGUAAAU
rnacentral:guide_RNA from 1 species